rnacentral:lncRNA from 10 species
GCUCUAGGACCUUUCUGACACUUUGGGGAGAAUCUUUGCUGCCUAGGGUCUGCAGGGCUAUCCCCCACAGAGGAAGGCAUUUUUCCUAGCAGGGAGUGAGAUCUCUUCACUUUAGGGUUGGGUGUGCAAAGCGAGCAGGGGAAAGAUUCAGAACCUCAGGCUGGCACCCAGCACUGUGCUAUCCUAGGAAGAAACAGCUAAAUCCCAAUGAAAGGCUCUGCUCACCACCUCCCCUGCUCCUGCCCUGGCCUGGGCUUGGGGGGACCCAGAGAGACGUCCAUAGGGUUCUGCCCUCCUGGAUUCUCUGGCUCAGACGAUGGCCCCAUCAUAUACUCCUGCAGCCAAGGCAGAAAUCCAGGCAUCAGCCCGGACUCUUCCCUCACGCCCCCUCGUGUGCCCCCUUCUGUUUUCCUGCAGUGCCCUGAUGUCCUCUGUUGCAUUGUUUAUCAUCUUUUAUUGUAAAGGCUCCAAUUGUCCAUUUCCCCAUCUAGAUGCAAUGAAGGCAGAGGCUGUGUCUAUCUUGUUCCCUGCUGUAUUCUGGGCACCUGGCACAGUGCCUGGCACUUAACAGGUGCUAAUUAAACACUGUUG